rnacentral:rRNA from 1 species
CCUACGGGUGGCUGCAGUGGGGAAUAUUGCACAAUGGGCGCAAGCCUGAUGCAGCCAUGCCGCGUGUGUGAAGAAGGCCUUCGGGUUGUAAAGCACUUUCAGCGGGGAGGACGGCGGUGAGGUUAAUAACCUCAUCGAUUGACGUUACCCGCAGAAGAAGCAACGGCUAACUCCGUGCCAGCAGCCGCGGUAAUACGGAGGGUGCAAGCGUUAAUCGGAAUUACUGGGCGUAAAGCGCACGCAGGCGGUCUGUCAAGUCGGAUGUGAAAUCCCCGGGCUCAACCUGGGAACUGCAUUCGAAACUGGCAGGCUAGAGGCUUGUAGAGGGGGGUAGAAUUCCAGGUGUAGCGGUGAAAUGCGUAGAGAUCUGGAGGAAUACCGGUGGCGAAGGCGGCCCCCUGGACAAAGACUGACGCUCAGGUGCGAAAGCGUGGGGAGCAGACAGGAUUAGAUACCCCGGUAGUC